rnacentral:rRNA from 1 species
GAUGAACGCUGGCGGCGUGCUUAACACAUGCAAGUCGAACGAAGCACCUUGAUUCGAUUCUUCGGAUGAAGAUCUUGGUGACUGAGUGGCGGACGGGUGAGUAACGCGUGGGUAACCUGCCUCAUACAGGGGGAUAACAGUUAGAAAUGACUGCUAAUACCGCAUAAGACCACAGCACCGCAUGGUGCAGGGGUAAAAACUCCGGUGGUAUGAGAUGGACCCGCGUCUGAUUAGGUAGUUGGGGGGGUAACGGCCUACCAAGCCGACGAUCAGUAGCCGACCUGAGAGGGUGACCGGCCACAUUGGGACUGAGACACGGCCCAGACUCCUACGGGAGGCAGCAGUGGGGAAUAUUGCACAAUGGGGGAAACCCUGAUGCAGCGACGCCGCGUGAGCGAUGAAGUAUUUCGGUAUGUAAAGCUCUAUCAGCAGGGAAGAAAAUGACGGUACCUGACUAAGAAGCACCGGCUAAAUACGUG